rnacentral:rRNA from 1 species
UACAGAGGUCUCAAGCGUUGUUCGGAUUCAUUGGGCGUAAAGGGUGCGUAGGCGGCGCGGUAAGUCUGGUGUGAAAUCUCGGAGCUUAACUCCGAAACUGCAUUCGAUACUGCCGUGCUUGAGGACUGGAGAGGAGACUGGAAUUUACGGUGUAGCAGUGAAAUGCGUAGAUAUCGUGAGGAAGACCAGUUGCGAAAGCGGGUCUCUGGGCAAUUCCUGACGCUGAGGCACGAAGGCUAGGGGAGCAAACGGG